AGUCUACUACUGUUUUCCCAAUAGAUAAAAAUAAGAGAAGGGUAAUGACAAUUUUUAUCACUUUGCAUCCUAAAUGGAAUUUUAUGGGACAAAGAGAAGAGACUUCUGUGGCCCAAAGGGAUUUCCUCUGCUGAAUACCAAACACCUUCUACAAACAACAGAAAUGUGAGAGAUUCUCAAAAUAAAAGGUCACAGGGAUUUUCUAUAAUAGAAAGACUUUAACAACAGGAUGUUGUUACCAGCUGCCCUUCCAGUGAAUCAGGGAAUAUCUUGGUGAAGUACUUCCUCAAUAUGUUUUUCUGCAAUUCAAGGAGCUACUAAUUUGAGGGAUAGUCACUGGAGUUGUCAGAGUUUGAGUCAGGGACCAUGAUGUACAUUCAGUAGCAGCCCUGAACACAGGGAAGAGAAAUAAAAAAGGAUUCACAGCAGAAAGGGAGAUGACCAUUGUACUUGGACAGCCUGGUGGCAGCAUGUCCAGGUUUGCUCUGCCAAGGUAACAUCCAUGUGUCGGACAGAGGGACAGCACUUGUUUGAUUUCUGGGAAGAGCCCAACUUCCUUAAGAGAAGGGCAGGGGAGGAAUAUGGCUGGCUAAUGAUUUCAAACUGCCUGAAGCAGUGAGUGACCUGGCAGCUGUAGAGAAAAGCAUCUUUCUCUGCCCACCCACCACUUGAAGUCACAGUAUAAACAGUUAUUUUUUACCAAAUUUGGCUUAGAACACAAUCAGGGAUGAGUAAGACAGGUCCACCGGCACUGUGGUCAUCCUUGCACCUCAUUAGUUUUCCACAGAAAUAGGAGCUACUCUUUCUGUGGUUGGGAGAAACACAACAGGUCAAUCAGGUUACCACCCACUCCAGAAGUUUGUGUGCCUUUGCGGGGAUUACUAGCACACAUGGAUAUAGAAUAAUAUCAAGUCAUUUCAGCAUGUGGAGAAUAUACUAAAUUCACCACAUUCCCGUCCCUACCUCCUCCACUAGCCCUGGUUUCUAGCUAUCAUCCACAUCUGGCCCUCACCAUUGUGUUCCCCCACCCACUCCUCUCCCUUGGACUCACAAGCUCCAUUUCUUCACUGUGGUCGUAAUUGCUUCAUUUCUUUGCUGUUCUGAGUACAGGAAGGCAUAGGAAGAGGGACAGCACUUGAAACCCAUCCAUUUUCAGAACAAAGAAUCUGACUUUGAGAUAUGAACAAACAGGAGUGAAGGGCCCCUCUCCCCCCACAGAGGGUCAGAGAAGGGGGGAUGCGACACAUUUGUCUGUGCUUAGGACAAAUCAUGAACAUAGUGAGAGGUCUGUUGGUGAGUUCAAUCAUGUUAAAAGACCAUGAUAACUAAUAGGGACUUUGAAUAUUCAGUGGUAUGAAAGUAACCUUGCCUUUUUAUGUGUCCUUCCAUAGAUAAAAAGAAGCAAUAUUGUUGGGAUGCCUAGGAUUUCAAAAUAUUACUUCAUAAUAAGCAUAAAACACUUCUUAAAGCACAUAUUAUGGGUCCAGAAGAACACAUCUUUCAGUCUUUGAGAAGUAUUUAAACUACCCUGGCAGAUGAAGAUUUGGAUUUGGCUUGCUUGAUGCUGGACGAUUAAUGAAGGAAGCCCUAACUGGACAAAUGUUGGUCUCCUGAGACAAUGUGUUGUUGAUAACAGGUACAGAGCAGUUACCUACAAUAAGCUCAUCCCACGAGUCACGGCAUCUUUUUGUUCAUCUGUUUCAACCAGAUUAAUGUAAAGAUGGACUGGGUGCAAACAGCUGUUUUUGUGCACCUAUGGAUCAAUGACUUGGGCAUGCUUUCCAAGCAUUUUUGUAGAAAAGAUAGGAAUGAAGUAGAAAUGUGUAGUCCUCUGAUGUGGUUACUUCCCAAAGAUGUUUCUGUGUUCAAUCCUGCAGUAAUUCUCCAGUAAAGCAAUGAGGAGAGUUAAACCCCUGAGGGACAGGAACACUCUCCCUUUUCUCUGGAUCAAUGUCAUAUGCAAAAAGCACAGCAACAAAGUCUGUUUCUCAAUAUUGUACCUACUUGAGGCUCCUGAAGGUGUGAUUAAUUGGGAGUGAUUAAUUAAAGCAUGAGUCAUGACCUCCUUUUUUUCCUGUCACAUUACUUAUGAACAAGGGGGCAGUCAAUGUAGUUAAAUGGUAUGAGAUAGCAAAUUUAGAGGAAAUAAAAAGAAAUUAGUUGUGUUGCAUGUGGUCAAUCUGUGGGAUUUCCUGCUACGGGUGACCAUCUGAUAAAUAGGAUUCCUUGACUGAAAAUAAUAUUGUUAAUGCUAGUGCCAUAACAGAUGGGACCAUCGCUGUAUAUCUGGGACUUCUGGCUACACUGGGAAGGCAGAAGAGAGUCCUGCUUGGCUAAUAAAGUAAGAGCAAAUGCACCAUGUGCUGGGAAGUCAGGCAGGAGUGCUGUUCUCCAUGGACAGCAGCACUGCACUAUUAGCUUGAUCUAUGACUUGCCAUUUCAUGGUUUGGUUGGUUGUUUAUUUGUCUGUCUUUUUAAUUCCUCUGGAAAAUACUGUACUGGCUCUCUCUGUUGACUGAAUGACCAGGCUUGGGCAGAAGACAUAGCAUUCUUCUUCUCUGACCUUUAUAUCAAAAUUGAUUAGCAAUAAUUCUUUUGCAGAAAAGGAUUGACAAUAAGAUGUGGAUGUUCAUCUUUAAUGAACUCUAGUCACCAAGUGGAAACUAGCUAACUUUGAUGAUGCAAUUGACCACCUUCUCAGCAAUAGCUGAAUACUUGCUCCUCAAACUGAGCAAGCCUCUUAACUGGGAAUGUGAAGAGAUGAAGCAAGCAAAAAAGAAAAAGUGUGAAGAGCAUUGGUGCCAUAUCGUCACUGUAUCAGAUAGUUUUAGGAUCGAUGAGUGAAUAGUGGAAGAGUACUACAGAGAGAUCUUGUUAAUAAUAUCUUUGAUCUAAUCAAGUGUUGCCACAGUACCAGUAUGGUUGUUUUCUUGUUGGAGCUACUCAUGUGAGAGAGCCACUCUGCUGUCUUUACAAAUCUGCACGUAAAUAAAAAGAAUGGACCUUCCCCGUGAAACGUGAGCACAGAAACGCUCACAAGUGGCCAAGAGCUGCUAAAUAAUUAAUCAAUAGAGCAGUGUGGCAGUUUGAAAUGUAAAUGUGAUGGAUGAAGGUGUGAUGCUUGUCAUCAAGCAGAAAAUGAUGUGACUGGAAUGGAUAACCCACAGUACCUGCUAACUGGCAAAAGCUUGGACACAAAGAUAAAGUAAAGCCAUCAGAAAGCAGACCUGGCAACCCCUAAUUCUUGCCUUUGACCCACAAUUCACUUUCAUGUCUCUGUCCCAGAAGAGAUGUUUAAAAAAAUGAUGAAGAGAGAUCUUGGGGUGGGAAAGGGGUGAGAAAAAAACCAUCUGAAGAAAUGCUACCUGACAAGGCUGCAGGCUACAUUCUUGAGAACACCUUUCUUUUCUUUAUGUUCUCCUUCUCCUGUUAAAUAAAAAUGCGGCUCCUUUUUUCCCUUUCCUUUCUUCCAAAACUCUCCCGAGCCGUUCCUGCAAGUGGUUCUGUGACUCGGGAGCUGACAACAGCCGCAUGCAAAGGAACAAAGAAUGAGAGUGACAAUUCAGAGUGCACGCAGAUAGUCUUCCUUUGGUCACAAGAUGACAGUGAGAAUGGAUUGUCAAACUGGACCACUAUGACAAUUUACUCUGGGGGAGAAAAUCCUGUGGGUGUUUAGAAGCUUUACUAUAACAGCUUUUCGGUUUGCAACUGCACCAAAGCAGGAUGAUGAUGGUGAAGGAGACUGACACAGCAUGAGAGCCUGCAACAGACAGUGGUUUGUGGGUCUCUGGCAGGAAGCACUGAAAUGUGGAUGGUAAUGCUGACCCCAACACAAGGUCCCAUGUCCGUGAGGCUUGAGACUGAGGUGGUGCCCACCAGACUGGAACAAAGGACAUGAUCAAAGAACCUCUGAAAAACUUUUCUUCAUGAAGGCAAGGCAAGAUUGAAAGACAAGGAAGUGCAGCCCUGGGAAGAAAUGUUCUCCCACAAUGUGGCAUCGUGGCUGUCAUCAAAACAUCUUCCAUUCUGGCUGUCGACACUGAAGUGAAGAUAAGCUUUCAAACAGGGCUUGCCACAAAACGAUUUCAAGUCUUCUCCUUCAGACCCAGGGGUUGGAGAAACUCUCCCUCUGAGGCUCCCUGGCAUCUACCUGGGGGGACAUGUACCUCUCUAAACGGGCCUUGAACCCGAAAUGCUUUGUUAUGCUCAAAACAAUAAAUAAGGUUCCGAGUGAAGCCUUCAGAAUAAAAGAUUGGUUAGUGUAAUAUCCCUAGUGUAGCUAUCAGCGUGGUCAUAAGAACUAUGAACUACAGCAUGGGUAAGCUUGAAAAACCCAGAGCAGAUCGCAUUAGCCAAGAACGCUACAUAUCUGGAAGCCAGUCAACUUCACGUUUGCAGCUGACUGCUGUAUUAUGCACGAAUGUGUUUUACAUAUAGCAGACUGUAUACGGAAUAUGUCUUUAUGUUUAACAUUUUAAUUUGUAAAUGCUAAUUAGGCAGUUGGUCUCCACGGUUAUAUUAGUACAUACCUAAUCAUUUCCCACUAUAAGUAAAUGAAUACUAAAUACGGUAAACACUUUCUUUUCACUAUUUCCACGACUGGAUCUCUUCUAUAUCCAUUUUCCAAAGGUGUCCAUUCGGACAAAAUAGGCAUUUAUUUUAAAAAGGGGGAGAAAAAAAUGCACUCUGCAGCACUCUUAUAAUUGAGGUGCUACGGCAGGCAUGGAGCUGGCAAUCCUGACCGGACCGGACUCUUCCAAAGGAAGCCAGAAAAGUUUAGUUUUGCCAAAUUAACUUGUUGCUCGUUUUAACGUUAGUUUUUCUCUUCGCUCGCAGUACCUAGUCGCCUGCUGCUGUUGACUGGUGCAGGCACACACCAGAGGAGCUGCCUUUCUAAAUCCUGUUUUGUUUAAAAUAUAACUCAGGUUAUGCUCGGAGAAUUGGGGGAGGGGGGGCAGAGGAGAGCUGGGAGAAAUCCGCUCAAUCCCGACCCCGGGAUGAUGAACUUUGCUGGGGUCUUUCAACUCCAAAACCCGCCCGUUUCACAGGCGAGGGAAAUGUUCACUAAACUGCAAAUCUCAAGCAAGAGACCACGUUUCUGAGGAGAAUUGCGCUCUGGAAAUGUGUUUUACUAGUCUGGAAUAUUGCUAGUGCUCAUUGCGCCAAACGCGGUAGGUGGAAAGUUUUGUUCAUGUAAAUAUCUCAACCAUUUUACCUCACGGUCAAUACACGCAGAGACUUGACUCCGUUUUACAAAUGAAGACCCACGAACACUUUAAAUGAAAAGUGUAAUUUCUUAUA